rnacentral:tRNA from 1 species
CAAAGUGUAGCUUAAUCCUAAAGCAUCUGGCCUACACCCAGAAGAUUUCAUAAUGCAUGACCACUUUGA